CCUACGGGUGGCAGCAGUGAGGAAUUUUGGUCAAUGGACGAGAGUCUGAACCAGCCAAGUAGCGUGAAGGAUGACUGCCCUAUGGGUUGUAAACUUCUUUUAUAUGGGAAUAAAAUGUUCCACGUGUGGGAUUUUGUAUGUACCAUAUGAAUAAGGAUCGUCUCACUCCGUGCCAGCAGCCGCGGUAAUACGGAGGAUCCGAGCGUUAUCCGGAUUUAUUGGGUUUAACGGGAGCGUAGGUGGAUUGUUAAGUCAGUUGUGAAAGUUUGCGGAUCAACCGUAAAAUUGCAGUUGAAACUGGCAGUCUUGAGUACAGUAGAGGUGGGCGGAAUUCGUGGUGUAGCGGUGAAAUGCUUAGAUAUAACGAAGAACUCCGAUUGCGAAGGCAGUUCACUGGACUGCAACUGACACUGAGGCUCGAAAGUGUGGGUAUCAAACAGGAUUAGAUACCCUGGUAGUC
rnacentral:rRNA from 1 species